rnacentral:rRNA from 1 species
UUGUCAUUUAUGGAAACAUAGGCAAAGACUUCUUAAAGGGACAUGUUGGGUUUACCAGCGGGAAGUUUGAGGCAAUAACAGGUCUGUGAUGCCCUUAGAUGUUCUGGGCCGCACGCGCGCUACACUGACGAAUUCAACGAGCUUUUACUAUAUUUGUAGUAAAUUCCUUUAUCGGAAGAUAUGGGUAAUCUUUAAAUGUUUGUCGUGAUGGGGCUAGAUUUUUGCAAUUAUUAAUCUCCAACGAGGAACC